rnacentral:rRNA from 1 species
AAUCAACGCUGGCGGCGUGCCUAACACAUGCAAGUCGAGCGCGAAAGGGGACUUCGGUCCCUGAGUAGAGCGGCGGACGGGUGAGUAACACGUGGGUAACCUGCCCUUGGGUGGGGAAUAACCUAGGGAAACCUGGGCUAAUGCCGCAUAACAUCCCGGGCUCAUAAGAAUCCGGGAUCAAAGCUGGGGACCCUUCGGGGCCUGGCGCCUAAGGAGGAGCUCGCGGCCGAUUAGCUUGUUGGUGAGGUAAUGGCUCACCAAGGCAACGAUCGGUAGCCGGCCUGAGAGGGCGGACGGUCACACUGGGACUGAGACACGGCCCAGACUCCUACGGGAGGCAGCAGUGGGGAAUUUUUGGCAAUGGGGGAAACCCUGACCAAGCAACGCCGCGUGGAGGACGAAGGCCCUCGGGUCGUAAACUCCUGUCGGAGGGGACGAAAGCGGCUGGGGCGAAUAACCCCAGUUGUUGACGGUACCCUAUGAGGAAGCCCCGGCUAACUCCGUG